rnacentral:rRNA from 1 species
UUGAAAAACCAGUUCCCGUACGAUCAUCGAAGUUAAGCAACGUCGAGCCUGAUCAGUACCUAGAUGGGUGACCGCUUGGGAAUGCCAGGUACAGU